rnacentral:ncRNA from 1 species
CUGGUGCCUGCGCCGCCGUUCUGGCAGCGCGGGUGAAACGGGAAACAGGUGCGUUGCCGCCCACGACGACAAAGCCUGUGCUGCCCCCGCAACGGUAAGUGCCCCCUUGGAAAUCUCUGCGCCACUGAGGCUACGGCCUUGGGAAGGCGGUUUCUGCGCCUGUUUUCAGGCAGGCACCAGCCCGGAGACCGGCCAG